rnacentral:rRNA from 1 species
UUAAAUUGAAGAGUUUGAUCAUGGCUCAGAUUGAACGCUGGCGGCAGGCCUAACACAUGCAAGUCGAACGGUAACAGGAAGCAGCUUGCUGCUUCGCUGACGAGUGGCGGACGGGUGAGUAAUGUCUGGGAAACUGCCUGAUGGAGGGGGAUAACUACUGGAAACGGUGGCUAAUACCGCAUAACGUCGCAAGACCAAAGAGGGGGACCUUCGGGCCUCUUGCCAUCAGAUGUGCCCAGAUGGGAUUAGCUUGUUGGUGAGGUAACGGCUCACCAAGGCGACGAUCCCUAGCUGGUCUGAGAGGAUGACCAGCCACACUGGAACUGAGACACGGUCCAGACUCCUACGGGAGGCAGCAGUGGGGAAUAUUGCACAAUGGGCGCAAGCCUGAUGCAGCCAUGCCGCGUGUAUGAAGAAGGCCUUCGGGUUGUAAAGUACUUUCAGCGGGGAGGAAGGUGUUGCGGUUAAUAACCGCAGCAAUUGACGUUACCCGCAGAAGAAGCACCGGCUAACUCCGUGCCAGCAGCCGCGGUAAUACGGAGGGUGCAAGCGUUAAUCGGAAUUACUGGGCGUAAAGCGCACGCAGGCGGUCUGUCAAGUCGGAUGUGAAAUCCCCGGGCUCAACCUGGGAACUGCAUUCGAAACUGGCAGGCUUGAGUCUUGUAGAGGGGGGUAGAAUUCCAGGUGUAGCGGUGAAAUGCGUAGAGAUCUGGAGGAAUACCGGUGGCGAAGGCGGCCCCCUGGACAAAGACUGACGCUCAGGUGCGAAAGCGUGGGGAGCAAACAGGAUUAGAUACCCUGGUAGUCCACGCCGUAAACGAUGUCUACUUGGAGGUUGUGCCCUUGAGGCGUGGCUUCCGGAGCUAACGCGUUAAGUAGACCGCCUGGGGAGUACGGCCGCAAGGUUAAAACUCAAAUGAAUUGACGGGGGCCCGCACAAGCGGUGGAGCAUGUGGUUUAAUUCGAUGCAACGCGAAGAACCUUACCUGGUCUUGACAUCCACGGAACUUUCCAGAGAUGGAUUGGUGCCUUCGGGAACCGUGAGACAGGUGCUGCAUGGCUGUCGUCAGCUCGUGUUGUGAAAUGUUGGGUUAAGUCCCGCAACGAGCGCAACCCUUAUCCUUUGUUGCCAGCGAUUCGGUCGGGAACUCAAAGGAGACUGCCAGUGAUAAACUGGAGGAAGGUGGGGAUGACGUCAAGUCAUCAUGGCCCUUACGACCAGGGCUACACACGUGCUACAAUGGCGCAUACAAAGAGAAGCGACCUCGCGAGAGCAAGCGGACCUCAUAAAGUGCGUCGUAGUCCGGAUUGGAGUCUGCAACUCGACUCCAUGAAGUCGGAAUCGCUAGUAAUCGUGGAUCAGAAUGCCACGGUGAAUACGUUCCCGGGCCUUGUACACACCGCCCGUCACACCAUGGGAGUGGGUUGCAAAAGAAGUAGGUAGCUUAACCUUCGGGAGGGCGCUUACCACUUUGUGAUUCAUGACUGGGGUGAAGUCGUAACAAGGUAACCGUAGGGGAACCUGCGGUUGGAUCACCUCCUUACCUUAAAGAAGC